rnacentral:rRNA from 1 species
CGUAAGACAUGGCGAACGGGUGAGUAACACGUCACUAUCUGCCUUCGAGUCAAGCAUACCCCGUCGAAAGACGGGAUAAUACUUGAUAGUUCCCUCCGGGGUAAAGAUUUAUCGCUCGAAGAGGAGGUGGCGUCCUAUCAGCUUGUUGGUGGGGUAACGGCCUACCAAGGCAACGACGGGUAGCUGGUCUGAGAGGAUGGUCAGCCACAAUGGGACUGAGACACGGCCCAUACUCCUACGGGAGGCAGCAGUUGGGAAUCGUGCGCAAUGGACGAAAGUCUGACGCCGCGACGCCGCGUGCAGGAAGAAGGCCUUUGGGUUGUAAACUGCUUUUAUUAGGGAUGAUUAUGACAGUACCUAACGAAUAAGUGACUGCUAACUUCGUGCCAGCAGCAGCGGUAAUACGAAGGUCACAAGCGUUAUCCGGAAUUAUUGGGCAUAAAGAGCUCGUAGGUGGUGAAGCGGGUCUUCGGUAAAAGUCCCAAGCUUAACUUGGGUUUCGCCGAAGAAACUACUUUGCUAAGAGGAUGGCAGGGGCAAAUGGAAUUCCUGGUGUAGCAGUGAAAUGCGUUGAUAUCAGGAAGAACACCAAUGGCGAAGGCAAUUUGCUAGGCUAUACCUGACACUAAGGAGCGAAAGCGUGGGGAGCGAACGGGAUUAGAUACCCCGGUAGUCCACGCCGUAAACGAUGCAGACUAGGCAUCGGGAGUAUCGACCCUCCCUGUGUCGAAGCUAACGCGUGAAGUCUGCCGCCUGGGAAGUACGGCCGCAAGGCUAAAACUCAAAGAAAUUGACGGGGACUCGCACAAGCGGGGGAACAUGAGGUUUAAUUCGACGGUAAACGAAGAACCUUACCAGGGCUUGACAUCUU